AUGAACGCUGGCGGCGUGCCUAAUACAUGCAGGUCGAGCGCACAGACGAGGAGCUUGCUCCUCUGACGUUAGCGGCGGACGGGUGAGUAACACGUGGAUAACCUACCUAUAAGACUGGGAUAACUUCGGGAAACCGGAGCUAAUACCGGAUAAUAUAUUGAACCGCAUGGUUCAAUAGUGAAAGACGGUUUUGCUGUCACUUAUAGAUGGAUCCGCGCCGCAUUAGCUAGUUGGUAAGGUAACGGCUUACCAAGGCGACGAUGCGUAGCCGACCUGAGAGGGUGAUCGGCCACACUGGAACUGAGACACGGUCCAGACUCCUACGGGAGGCAGCAGUAGGGAAUCUUCCGCAAUGGGCGAAAGCCUGACGGAGCAACGCCGCGUGAGUGAUGAAGGUCUUCGGAUCGUAAAACUCUGUUAUUAGGGAAGAACAAAUGUGUAAGUAACUAUGCACGUCUUGACGGUACCUAAUCAGAAAGCCACGGCUAACUACGUG
rnacentral:rRNA from 1 species